AAGUGUUACAGUUCUUGUAGAAUUUGUCUAGCAGGUUUUCCAACUUUUACUAGAUCCACCCCC
rnacentral:snRNA from 1 species